rnacentral:rRNA from 1 species
CUUUCUUUUGCUGGCGACCGGCGCACGGGUGAGUAACACGUAUCCAACCUGCCCUUUACUCGGGGAUAGCCUUUCGAAAGAAAGAUUAAUACCCGAUAGCAUAAUGAUUCCGCAUGGUUUCAUUAUUAAAGGAUUCCGGUAAAGGAUGGGGAUGCGUUCCAUUAGGUUGUUGGUGAGGUAACGGCCCACCAAGCCUUCGAUGGAUAGGGGUUCUGAGAGGAAGGUCCCCCACAUUGGAACUGAGACACGGUCCAA